GCAAGUCGAACGGAGUCAAGAGGAGCUUGCUUUUCUUGACUUAGUGGCGAACGGGUGAGUAACGCGUGAGUAACCUGCCCUGGAGUGGGGGACAACAGUUGGAAACGACUGCUAAUACCGCAUAAGCCCACGAUCCGGCAUCGGAUUGAGGGAAAAGGAUUUAUUCGCUUCAGGAUGGACUCGCGUCCAAUUAGCUAGUUGGUGAGGUAACGGCCCACCAAGGCGACGAUUGGUAGCCGGACUGAGAGGUUGAACGGCCACAUUGGGACUGAGACACGGCCCAGACUCCUACGGGAGGCAGCAGUGGGGGAUAUUGCACAAUGGGGGAAACCCUGAUGCAGCGACGCCGCGUGGAGGAAGAAGGUUUUCGGAUUGUAAACUCCUGUCGUUAGGGACGAUAAUGACGGUACCUAACAAGAAAGCACCGGCUAACUACGUGCCAGCAGCCGCGGUAAAACGUAGGGUGCAAGCGUUGUCCGGAAUUACUGGGUGUAAAGGGAGCGCAGGCGGACCGGCAAGUUGGAAGUGAAAACUAUGGGCUCAACCCAUAAAUUGCUUUCAAAACUGCUGGCCUUGAGUAGUGCAGAGGUAGGUGGAAUUCCCGGUGUAGCGGUGGAAUGCG
rnacentral:rRNA from 1 species